UCCCAGGUAGCUCAGUGGUAAAGAAUCUGUCUGCCUAUUCAGGAGACCCAGGAGACAUAGGUUCAAUCCCUGUAUUGGGAA
rnacentral:tRNA from 1 species